rnacentral:lncRNA from 1 species
UUAUUAUCUACAAAAUUUCAUGAAAUUCUGUUGUGUAUUUUCAGAGGAGUUGAGAUGACAAACUGUUGCAGAAGUACAUUGAAGCAAAUAAAUUCAAAGGGGCAUAACUCCUAGAAAAAAAAAUUGAACCGUAAUUUCCUGUUGAUAUGCACAUCUACAUAGUAUGUCCUUAUUAUCUACAAAGUUUCAUGAAAUUCUGUUGUGU